GCAGUCGAGCGACGCAUAUCGGAGGAGUAAUCCACUGGUAUGACGGAGCGGNGAACGGGUGAGUAUCACGUGAGAAACCUGCCCCGAAGACCGGGAUAGCCCGGGGAAACCCGGAUUAAUACCGGAUACCCUCUACAGAUCGCAUGGUCUGUUGAGGAAAGGCCUUUGUGCUUCGGGAUGGUCUCGCGGCCUAUCAGCUAGUUGGUGAGGUAACGGCCCACCAAGGCAACGACGGGUAGCUGGUCUGAGAGGACGAUCAGCCACACUGGGACUGAGACACGGCCCAGACUCCUACGGGAGGCAGCAGCAGGGAAUCUUGUCCAAUGGGCGCAAGCCUGAGACAGCGACGCCGCGUGGGGGAUGAAGGCCUUCGGGUUGUAAACCCCUUUCAGGAGGGACGAAAUUGACGGUACCUCCAGAAGAAGCCCCGGCCAACUACGUGCCAGCAGCCGCGGUAAUACGUAGGGGGCAAGCGUUGUCCGGAAUUAUUGGGCGUAAAGGGCUCGUAGGCGGCUUGGCAAGUCGGCCGUGAAAGCCCGGGGCUUAACCCCGGGAUGCCGGUCGAUACUGCCAUGGCUUGGGUCCGGUAGAGGAGAAUGGAAUUCCCGGUGUAGCGGUGAAAUGCGCAGAUAUCGGGAGGAACACCAACAGCGAAGGCAGUUCUCUGGGCCGGUACCGACGCUGAGGAGCGAA
rnacentral:rRNA from 1 species